rnacentral:rRNA from 1 species
UACGUAGGUGGCAAGCGUUGUCCGGAUUUAUUGGGCUUAAAGGGUGCGUAGGCGGUUUUGUAAGUCAGUGGUGAAAUCCUCCAGCUUAACUGGAGGGGUGCCAAUGAUACUGCAGAACUUGAGUACAGAUGAGGUAGGCGGAAUUGACGGUGUAGCGGUGAAAUGCAUAGAUAUCGGCAAGAACACCGAUAGCGAAGGCAGCUUACUGGGCUGUAACUGACGCUGAGGCACGAAAGUGUGGGGAUCAAACAGG